rnacentral:rRNA from 1 species
AGCUCCCUGAAAAAAUAGGGGGUCUAGCCUGCCCAGUGGUCCAAGACUAAACGGCCGCGGUAUAUUGACCGUGCAAAGGUAGCAUAAUCACUUGUCUUUUAAAUGAAGACUUGUAUGAACGGAAUUACCUUUCUUAACUGUCUCCCCUGCUUUUCUCUGAAACUCGUAUUUAGGUGAAGAACCCUAAAUAACAUAGAAAGACGAGAAGACCCUGUCGAGCUUCAGCUAAAAAAGGAGUCUAAGUAAAACUCACACAUCCUACUACAGCUUUGGUUGGGGCAACCACGGAGAAUAAUAAUCCUCCGGAAAUUGUGGAAGAUAAAUCUCUUCCCCACACACAAAAAAAGAACCAGAAUCUGGAAAACGGAAAAAGCUACCGCAGGGAUAACAGCGUUAUCUCCUCCAAGAGUUCAUAUUGACGAGGAGGCUUGCGACCUCGAUGUUGGAUUGGGGCACCCACAGGGUGCAGAAGCUCUGAAAGGUCGGACUGUUCGUCCGUUAAAGCCCUACG